UAGUGGCGAACGGGUGAGUAACACGUGGGUAACCUGCCCAUCAGAGGGGGAUAACUAUUGGAAACGAUAGCUAAUACCGCAUAAUAGCAGUUGUUGCAUGACAACUGUUUGAAAGGUGCAAUUGCACCACUACCAGAUGGACCUGCGUUGUAUUAGCUAGUUGGUGGGGUAACGGCUCACCAAGGCGACGAUACAUAGCCGACCUGAGAGGGUGAUCGGCCACACUGGGACUGAGACACGGCCCAGACUCC
rnacentral:rRNA from 1 species